rnacentral:rRNA from 1 species
GGUUAAGCGACUAAGCGUACACGGUGGAUGCCCUGGCAGUCAGAGGCGAUGAAGGACGUGCUAAUCUGCGAUAAGCGUCGGUAAGGUGAUAUGAACCGUUAUAACCGGCGAUUUCCGAAUGGGGAAACCCAGUGUGAUUCGUCACACUAUCAUUAACUGAAUCCAUAGGUUAAUGAGGCGAACCGGGGGAACUGAAACAUCUAAGUACCCCGAGGAAAAGAAAUCAACCGAGAUUCCCCCAGUAGCGGCGAGCGAACGGGGAGCAGCCCAGAGCCUGAAUCAGUGUGUGUGUUAGUGGAAGCGUCUGGAAAGGCGCGCGAUACAGGGUGACAGCCCCGUACACAAAAAUGCACAUGCUGUGAGCUCGAUGAGUAGGGCGGGACACGUGGUAUCCUGUCUGAAUAUGGGGGGACCAUCCUCCAAGGCUAAAUACUCCUGACUGACCGAUAGUGAACCAGUACCGUGAGGGAAAGGCGAAAAGAACCCCGGCGAGGGGAGUGAAAAAGAACCUGAAACCGUGUACGUACAAGCAGUGGGAGCACAGAGCAAUCUGUGUGACUGCGUACCUUUUGUAUAAUGGGUCAGCGACUUAUAUUCUGUAGCAAGGUUAACCGAAUAGGGGAGCCGAAGGGAAACCGAGUCUUAACUGGGCGUUAAGUUGCAGGGUAUAGACCCGAAACCCGGUGAUCUAGCCAUGGGCAGGUUGAAGGUUGGGUAACACUAACUGGAGGACCGAACCGACUAAUGUUGAAAAAUUAGCGGAUGACUUGUGGCUGGGGGUGAAAGGCCAAUCAAACCGGGAGAUAGCUGGUUCUCCCCGAAAGCUAUUUAGGUAGCGCCUCGUGAAUUCAUCUCCGGGGGUAGAGCACUGUUUCGGCAAGGGGGUCAUCCCGACUUACCAACCCGAUGCAAACUGCGAAUACCGGAGAAUGUUAUCACGGGAGACACACGGCGGGUGCUAACGUCCGUCGUGAAGAGGGAAACAACCCAGACCGCCAGCUAAGGUCCCAAAGUCAUGGUUAAGUGGGAAACGAUGUGGGAAGGCCCAGACAGCCAGGAUGUUGGCUUAGAAGCAGCCAUCAUUUAAAGAAAGCGUAAUAGCUCACUGGUCGAGUCGGCCUGCGCGGAAGAUGUAACGGGGCUAAACCAUGCACCGAAGCUGCGGCAGCGACGCUUAUGCGUUGUUGGGUAGGGGAGCGUUCUGUAAGCCUGUGAAGGUGUACUGUGAGGUAUGCUGGAGGUAUCAGAAGUGCGAAUGCUGACAUAAGUAACGAUAAAGCGGGUGAAAAGCCCGCUCGCCGGAAGACCAAGGGUUCCUGUCCAACGUUAAUCGGGGCAGGGUGAGUCGACCCCUAAGGCGAGGCCGAAAGGCGUAGUCGAUGGGAAACAGGUUAAUAUUCCUGUACUUGGUGUUACUGCGAAGGGGGGACGGAGAAGGCUAUGUUGGCCGGGCGACGGUUGUCCCGGUUUAAGCGUGUAGGCUGGUUUUCCAGGCAAAUCCGGAAAAUCAAGGCUGAGGCGUGAUGACGAGGCACUACGGUGCUGAAGCAACAAAUGCCCUGCUUCCAGGAAAAGCCUCUAAGCAUCAGGUAACAUCAAAUCGUACCCCAAACCGACACAGGUGGUCAGGUAGAGAAUACCAAGGCGCUUGAGAGAACUCGGGUGAAGGAACUAGGCAAAAUGGUGCCGUAACUUCGGGAGAAGG